CUGAUCACCUUGGCAGAGGCUGAGAGACCAGCUCCUAGACCCUGCUCUGCCUCAAGCAGAUCUGAGGCUAUUGCCUUGUUCCUUCUGAGCCCCUGAGUCUUUGUCUGGAAGAGACUGUGGAAAGCAGUCCUUCUUUCUCAGCCACCUUCACCCCUGGAAUCUAUGUCAAGGUGUGUAUUCCCAACAGCAGUAUGCCUGCCCUGAAGUCUUAAUGAGAAUGAGGAGCCCUGCAGCAGCUAGAAGGUGCAGCCGCUAGCCAUGCAUGAAGUUAAUUUAGCUUCUGUAAAUGUCUGGCGGCUUAGGUAGCAAGAGACAGGCCUGGCCUGCAUAGAUGAUCCGUGCUCUGCCUUGGAAAUGAUGGAGGAGAAACAGCUCUCCCAAACCGAUGAGUUUCAUUCCUAAAGUGACUGCACCAUAACCUGGGGAGACUGGGCUUGUUUUCAUCUUAAGCUGAAAAGGUUUCCAAAAACAAUCAUUUCAUUGUUUUUCUACUCACUGCUAACUCAAUAAAAGUGGUUCUUUUAAUUAA
rnacentral:lncRNA from 1 species